rnacentral:rRNA from 1 species
GGCCUGGUCGGGCGGUCCGCCUUCUGGUGAGCACUGUCUUCGCACCGGGUCUCUUCUUCUGGUGAGCUAGUGUGCUCUUUAUUGGGUGCGCUAGGGAAUCAGGACUAUUACCUUGAAAAAAUUAGAGUGUUUAAAGCGGGCAUUUGCUUGAAUACAUUAGCAUGGAAUAAUGGAAUAGGGCUGCUGCCCCAUUUUGUUGGUUUCUGGGACCGUAGCA